AUUGAACGCUGGCGGCAUGCCUUACACAUGCAAGUCGAACGGUAACGGGCCUUCGGGUGCCGACGAGUGGCGAACGGGUGAGUAAUGUAUCGGAACGUACCUUUCAGUGGGGGAUAACGUAGCGAAAGUUACGCUGAUACCGCAUAUUCUGUGAGCAGGAAAGCAGGGGAUCGCAAGACCUUGCGCUGAUUGAGCGGCCGAUAUCAGAUUAGCUAGUUGGUGAGGUAAAGGCUCACCAAGGCGACGAUCUGUAGCGGGUCUGAGAGGAUGAUCCGCCACACUGGAACUGAGACACGGUCCAGACUCCUACGGGAGGCAGCAGUGGGGAAUUUUGGACAAUGGGGGGCAAACCCUGAUCCAGCCAUGCCGCGUGAGUGAAGAAGGCC
rnacentral:rRNA from 1 species